GACAGAUGGGAGCUUGCUCCCUGAUGUUAGCGGCGGACGGGUGAGUAACACGUGGGUAACCUGCCUGUAAGACUGGGAUAACUCCGGGAAACCGGGGCUAAUACCGGAUGGUUGUUUGAACCGCAUGGUUCAGACAUAAAAGGUGGCUUCGGCUACCACUUACAGAUGGACCCGCGGCGCAUUAGCUAGUUGGUGAGGUAACGGCUCACCAAGGCGACGAUGCGUAGCCGACCUGAGAGGGUGAUCGGCCACACUGGGACUGAGACACGGCCCAGACUCCUACGGGAGGCAGCAGUAGGGAAUCUUCCGCAAUGGACGAAAGUCUGACGGAGCAACGCCGCGUGAGUGAUGAAGGUUUUCGGAUCGUAAAGCUCUGUUGUUAGGGAAGAACAAGUGCCGUUCAAAUAGGGCGGCACCUUGACGGUACCUAACCAGAAAGCCACGGCUAACUACGUGCCAGCAGCCGCGGUAAUACGUAGGUGGCAAGCGUUGUCCGGAAUUAUUGGGCGUAAAGGGCUCGCAGGCGGUUUCUUAAGUCUGAUGUGAAAGCCCCCGGCUCAACCGGGGAGGGUCAUUGGAAACUGGGGAACUUGAGUGCAGAAGAGGAGAGUGGAAUUCCACGUGUAGCGGUGAAAUGCGUAGAGAUGUGGAGGAACACCAGUGGCGAAGGCGACUCUCUGGUCUGUAACUGACGCUGAGGA
rnacentral:rRNA from 1 species